CGAGUGGCGAACGGGUGAGUAACACGUGGGUGAUCUGCCUUGCACUUCGGGAUAAGCUUGGGAAACUGGGUCUAGUACCGGAUAGGACAGCUGUUUAGUGUCAGUUGUGGAAAGUUUUUUCGGUGCAAGAUGAGCUCGCGGCCUAUCAGCUUGUUGGUGGGGUAAUGGCCUACCAAGGCGUCGACGGGUAGCCGGCCUGAGAGGGUGGACGGCCACAUUGGGACUGAGAUACGGCCCAG
rnacentral:rRNA from 1 species